rnacentral:rRNA from 1 species
UACGGAGGGUGCAAGCGUUGUCCGGAUUUAUUGGGUUUAAAGGGUACGUAGGUGGUCAAUUAAGUCAGUGGUGAAAUCCUGCAGCUCAACUGUAGAACUGCCAUUGAUACUGGUUGACUUGAGUAUAGACGAGGUAGGCGGAAUUUAUGGUGUAGCGGUGAAAUGCAUAGAUACCAUAAAGAACACCGAUAGCGAAGGCAGCUUACUAGACUAUAACUGACACUGAGGUACGAAAGCGUGGGGAGCGAACAGG